rnacentral:lncRNA from 1 species
CAGAGAAGGGGGCCCCAGCUCUGCAGGCUGCGAUUGCUUCGUCUCUACACGCCCUGGCAACCUCCACUAACUUUGUACCACUUUCAUCCACAUUGCCCACCAGAAAGGUUUCGGAGGUGUCUCCAUGGUAGCCAUUGUAAUAGACCUAAACACAGGCACACAUUUUAAGAAGCGCCAUGUGAUUUUGAACGACAUCGGGCUCAUCAUGAGAGACCAAUGAUUACAGCACCAGAGCACAUGGAGGGGGCAGAGGAGACUGGUUGGCUGUUGACCCUUGGACACCAUGUGGCAUUUACUGUUUUGCAUAAACUUAGCCCAUCUAAUUAUCUUCACGGUUCCCCUUUUCCUGAGGUGAACACAGGGACUCUGAGAAGAUCUGUUUAUUUAAGCUUUGUCUGAGUUAAUGUCAUACCCAUCGCCAUCAGGCAAUGAAGACCAUGUUCUCCUGGGCAGCAAGAAGAUGAUGCAAAAGGCUUCACAGAGAUCGCUGGCUUUUAAGUCAGGAAACUGAGGCAGAGACAAAUAAAGUGUGCGGGUUCCUGACAGAGGAGAAAGGUACAUCCCAACCAGUCUGGUAGACUGAUGGCUUCUUAAUCCCCCCACGGUACAGCCAUGCUUGCUAAUUCAUUCCCACUUACAUUCCCUUCCAGAAAAAUGUAAGCUUUUGUCAUAUACACUAAUUUAUAAUUUGUUAAUAUAAGUGUAGUUAUUCAAGAAAUUUUGCAACUGCAUGUUUUUAAGUAAAAUGUAUUCUUUAACUUCAUUUAGCUCGCUGUUCCAUGUUACCUUAAAAUUAAAAAUAUGUAGAAACA